rnacentral:rRNA from 1 species
ACACAUGCAAGUCGAACGGAAAGGCCCUGCUUGCAGGGUACUCGAGUGGCGAACGGGUGAGUAACACGUGGGUGAUCUGCCCUGCACUUCGGGAUAAGCCUGGGAAACUGGGUCUAAUACCGGAUAGGAGCCAUUUUUAGUGUGAUGGUUGGAAAGUUUUUUCGGUGUAGGAUGAGCUCGCGGCCUAUCAGCUUGUUGGUGGGGUAAUGGCCUACCAAGGCGGCGACGGGUAGCCGGCCUGAGAGGGUGGACGGCCACAUUGGGACUGAGAUACGGCCCAGACUCCUACGGGAGGCAGCAGUGGGGAAUAUUGCACAAUGGGCGCAAGCCUGAUGCAGCGACGCCGCGUGGGGGAUGACGGCCUUCGGGUUGUAAACUCCUUUCGCUAGGGACGAAGCUUUUUGUGACGGUACCUAGAUAAGAAGCACCGGCUAACUACGUGCCAGCAGCCGCGGUAAUACGUAGGGUGCGAGCGUUAUCCGGAAUUACUGGGCGUAAAGGGCUCGUAGGUGGUUUGUCGCGUCGUCUGUGAAAUUCCGGGGCUUAACUCCGAGCGUGCAGGCGAUACGGGCAUAACUUGAGUACUGUAGGGGUAACUGGAAUUCCUGGUGUAGCGGUGAAAUGCGCAGAUAUCAGGAGGAACGCCGAUGGCGAAGGCAGGUUACUGGGCAGUUACUGACGCUGAGGAGCGAAAGC